rnacentral:rRNA from 1 species
UACAGAGGUCCCAAGCGUUGUUCGGAUUCACUGGGCGUAAAGGGUGCGCAGGUGGGCUGGUAAGUUCGAUGUGAAAGCCCCGGGCUUAACCCGGGAAAGGCAUUGGAUACUACUGGUCUGGAGGAUUGGAGGGGGGACUGGAAUUCUUGGUGUAGCAGUGAAAUGCGUAGAUAUCAAGAGGAACACCGGUGGCGAAGGCGUUCUGCUAGGCCGCAACUGACACUGAGGGACGAAAGCUAGGGGAGCGAAUGGG